CAAAGGAAUUGACGGGGGCCCGCACAAGCGGUGGAGCAUGUGGUUUAAUUCGAAGCAACGCGAAGAACCUUACCAGGUCUUGACAUCCUUUGACCACUCUAGAGAUAGAGCUUCCCCUUCGGGGGCAAAGUGACAGGUGGUGCAUGGUUGUCGUCAGCUCGUGUCGUGAGAUGUUGGGUUAAGUCCCGCAACGAGCGCAACCCUUAUUGUUAGUUGCCAUCAUUCAGUUGGGCACUCUAGCAAGACUGCCGGUGACAAACCGGAGGAAGGUGGGGAUGACGUCAAAUCAUCAUGCCCCUUAUGACCUGGGCUACACACGUGCUACAAUGGGAAGUACAACGAGUUGCGAAGUCGCGAGGCUAAGCUAAUCUCUUAAAGCUUCUCUCAGUUCGGAUUGCAGGCUGCAACUCGCCUGCAUGAAGCCGGAAUCGCUAGUAAUCGCGGAUCAGCACGCCGCGGUGAAUACGUUCCCGGGCCUUGUACACACCGCCCGUCACACCACGAGAGUUUGUAACACCCGA
rnacentral:rRNA from 1 species